GACGGGGAUCCGGAAGGCGUUGUCGGUGACAUCACGGAGAGGGCGAUUUCUAUGUAGAUGAGGCAGCGCAGGGGCUGCUGCUUUGCCACGAAAGAGUUCCCGUGCCGUGGGAGCAAGUCUGGGACCGCUGGUCGGACCGGAGAGUCGCAGCUGUGUGUUAGGGCUAGGAUGGCUCCGGGAUGCGCGUGACGCAAGUGACCUUGCGUGUAAAGGGAUACAUGAUCCCUUAAUUCAGGCUCAGGCUGAAGAACUGACCCACUUACGACAGAAGACACAGGAAGGGAGAGGUGUCUGCUACCUUUUUACCCAGCAUGUGAAGAACACAGUCAAGUCUUUUGAGGGCCUUCUCAGGAACACUGGCAUUGCCUACUACCAGAGACAGAGAUUCUGUGAGCAAAUGGUACAAGGAAGCCAGCUGACAGAGAUCCUUGUCAGAAAACUUGUCACAGAAUCUUGCUCUCUUACCCAAGCUGGAGUGCAGUGACACGGUCUUGGCUGACUGCAAUCUGUGCCUCCUGGGCUCAAGCAAUCUUCCCACCUCAGCCUCCCAAGUAGCUGGGACUACAGGUGUGUGCCACCACACCUGGCUAAUGUUUGUAUUUUUUGUAGAGAUAGGGUUUCUCCAUGUUGUCCAGGCUUGUCUUGAACUACUGAGCUGAAGUAAUCCACCUGCUUUGGACUCCCAAAGUGCUGGGAUUACAGAUAUGAGCCACUGUGCCUGGCCUGAGAGUUCUUAGUUUCAAUCAGUAAGAGA
rnacentral:lncRNA from 1 species